rfam:Angiostrongylus costaricensis strain Costa Rica genome assembly, scaffold: ACOC_contig0002618
GACCGCUUGGUGCAAUGGUAGCGCGUUUGACACCAGAUCUAAAGGUUGGGCGUUCGAUCCGCUCAGUGGUUA